rnacentral:rRNA from 1 species
CAAUAGCGUAUAUUUAAGUUGCUGCAGUUAAAAAGCUCGUAGUUGGAUUUCGGGUGGGAAUGGCCGGUCCGCCGUUUCGGUGUGCACUUGCUACGCCCACCUUGCUGCCGGGGACGUGCUCUUGAGUUCACGCUCGGGACACGGAGUCGGCGAGGUUACUUUGAGUAGAUUAGAGUGUUCAAAGCAGGCCUACGCUCUGAAUACAUUAGCAUGGAAUAACAUGAUAGGACUCUGGCCUAUCUUGUUGGUCUGUAGGACCGGAGUAAUGAUUAAGAGGGACAGUCGGGGGCAUUCGUAUUUCAUUGUCAGAGGUGAAAUUCUUGGAUUUAUGAAAGACGAACUACUGCGAAAGCAUUUGCCAAGGAUGUUUUCAUUAA